AGCCGGAUAAUCGCGCAGAUGAAAAAUUCUGUGAGGAAAGUCCGGGCACCCCAGGGCAGACCGCCUGAUAACGUCAGGUACGGGCGACCGUGAGGAUAGUGCCACAGAAAUGCAGACUGCCGAUGAAUCCCGCAAGGAUAACAGGCGAUGGUGCAACGGCGAGGUAAGAGCUCACCGGCAGGGCUGAGAGGUCCUGGCCAGGUAAACCCCGGUCGGGUGCAAGGUUGACAAAAAGGUUAAGGUGACCCGCCGUCUUUUGACAAACCGCUUGAGCUUGCAGGCAACUGCAAGUCGAGACAGAUGAUUAUCUAGAAACAGAACCCGGCUUAUGAGCUGCUCC
rnacentral:RNase_P_RNA from 1 species